GCAUCGGUAGUUCAGUAGUAGAAUGCUCGCCUGCAACGCGGGCGGCCCGGGUUCGAUUCCCGGCCGAUGCA
rnacentral:tRNA from 1 species